GGAUGAACGCUGGCGGCGUGCCUAAUACAUGCAAGUCGAGCGAACGGACGAGAAGCUUGCUUUUCUGAUGUUAGCGGCGGACGGGUGAGUAACACGUGGAUAACCUACCUAUAAGACUGGGAUAACUUCGGGAAACCGGAGCUAAUACCGGAUAAUAUUUUGAACCGCAUGGUUCAAAAGUGAAAGACGGUCUUGCUGUCACUUAUAGAUGGAUCCGCGCUGCAUUAGCUAGUUGGUAAGGUAACGGCUUACCAAGGCAACGAUGCAUAGCCGACCUGAGAGGGUGAUCGGCCACACUGGAACUGAGACACGGUCCAGACUCCUACGGGAGGCAGCAGUAGGGAAUCCUCCGCAAUGGGCGAAAGCCUGACGGAGCAACGCCGCGUGAGUGAUGAAGGUCUUCGGAUCGUAAAACUCUGUUAUUAGGGAAGAACAUAUGUGUAAGUAACUGUGCACAUCUUGACGGUACCUAAUCAGAAAGCCACGGCUAACUACGUG
rnacentral:rRNA from 1 species